CCAUGUGAAACAAUCCACAUACUCUUUCAGUAACUUUAUUAAUUCUUCCCGGAAUUCCGGGGCCUAAUUUGCACUUAUGUAAGUCGACCUUGGCCUGUCUCCAGGACCUAUGUCUAUUUCUUCUAGUUUGUCAGCCGACAUAAAUCCCUGGCCUAGCUUACCAUCUGGGUCGUCUACUGCUCCGCUAAAAGUAUUUGUUGGGACUUCUGAUCGCGUAUCGGCUGGAUCCUAGUGUCCGAUACGCUCAGGAAUUCCCCCGACCAGGGUUUUCCGGAGAUGCACUCAUAGCCUUCUGCUUCCCAGGUGGGAAGGUCUGUUGUGGCUAUGUUGACCGAUCGGUCGGCUGGAAUUGUCUCCAUUUGAUCGCCGUGCCACUGUACCAGGCUUUGAUGCAUGGUGGAGGGGAUGCAGCAAUUGGCGUGGAUCCAAUCCCAGGCUGUAGGAUCCUUUCCCAUCGAUGACAAAGAAUGUGGUUGGCAGUGUUUUACUCCCGACCGUCAGUUCCACGUUUAGGCACCCUUAGCUUCUGAUGAGUUGCCCCCGAAGUCUUUGAGCAUCAUGUUAGUCUUGAUAAGAUCUUCGGGGGUUUUGCUCAGCUUUCGGUAGGUGAAGUAUGGCAUCGGAUUCACCGCUGCGCCGCCAUCGACCAACAUCUUCGCCAUCGGCUUUCCAUCGACGUGCCCCUGGAUAUAGAGUGGUUGAAGGUGCCGAUGGUCUUUUUCUGCCGGUUUCUCGAAGAGGGCUGGUUGUGAGGG
rnacentral:lncRNA from 1 species